GCGGCUGCUGUUACCACAACUGUUGCAUGCAACAUGGAUGGCGAAAAUCGGAUUAUAUUAAAUGUGGGCGGCAUUAGAUAUGAAACCUAUAAGGCAACGCUCAAGAAAAUACCCGCAACGCGCCUCUCACGUCUGACCGAAGCCUUGGCCAAUUAUGAUCCGGUGCUCAACGAGUAUUUCUUCGAUCGCCAUCCCGGAGUCUUUACGCAAAUACUCAAUUAUUACAGAACUGGUAAGCUGCAUUAUCCGACAGACGUCUGUGGCCCACUGUUUGAGGAGGAGCUAGAGUUUUGGGGACUCGAUUCGAAUCAGGUAGAACCAUGCUGCUGGUCAACUUAUAGCAUACAUCGCGAUACGCAAAACACCUUAGCUAUAUUAGAUAAACUAGAUAUUGAAAAUGAGAAACCCACGGAGGAGCAAAUAGCACGUCUGUUUGGCUUCGAGGAGGCUUUAAGCAACGGCGAGCUUAACUGUUGGCAACGUCUAAAGCCCAAAAUUUGGGCCAUGUUCGAUGAGCCGUCGAGCUCAACGGGCGCCAAGUUUGUUGCUGGCAUGUCGGUAUUCUUUAUAUUUGUUUCUGUGAUAUCAUUCUGCCUGAAAACCCAUCCCGGUUUUCGCGUGGACCUGCCCACCAGCUACAGCGCCGGCCUGCCUGCGUCUGGCCAUGAUCCGCUGGCGCCGCCCAUACCUCAGCAGCCGGUGCAACAGUCCCAGUCGCAGCCGCAUCAUCAUUCGCAGCAGCAGCAGCAGUAUCAAUACCAUCAACAUAGCAUAACGCCACCUAGUGGCAGCAUUGGUCCCACAUUUCGUGUCACGAACUACACGAGCUACAGCAGCGGCAACUUGAGCGCUGCACAGGCCACGCCCAUUGCCACCAUAAAGGGCCAACAGCAACGGCAGCGUCUGAAACGUGACCUAAACACGAGCAGCCUGAACGAGUUCCUUGAGGAUAAGCUACUCGGUCAGAAUGGACGCAGACAGCACGGCUGGAUCGAGACCUACGGCCAGCCGCACAAGGCCUUCUUCUAUGUGGAGCUCGUAUGCAAUGUUUGGUUCUUCAUCGAGGUUGUCAUCAGGCUAAUUGUUUCACCCAAUCUGUGGCAGUUCAUUAAGUCUCCCGUUAACAUUAUCGACUUUACGGCCACGUUGAGCUUCUAUACGGAUGUCAUGCAGCGCAUGGGCGAAUAUACGGGCCUGCUGGAGGCAUUUUCCAUAGUGCGCAUAAUGCGUCUCUUUAAGCUGACACGUCACUCGCCAGGACUACGCAUCCUUAUACACACGUUCAAGGCUUCGGCCAAGGAAUUGACUCUGCUCGUGUUCUUCCUCGUUCUCGGCAUCGUCUUCUUUGCCAGUUUGGCCUAUUAUGCGGAAAAAUUACAGGACAAUCCAGACAACCAAUUCAAGAGCAUACCAUUGGGCUUAUGGUGGGCCAUUGUUACCAUGACCACAGUGGGCUAUGGCGACGUGGCGCCCAAAACGUAUCCGGGCAUGUUUGUGGGCGCACUGUGCGCACUGGCUGGUGUCCUGACCAUAGCACUACCCGUACCUGUUAUCGUUAGCAAUUUCUCCAUGUUCUAUUCGCACACCCAGGCCCGCUCCAAGUUGCCCAAGAAACGCCGCCGAGUGCUGCCCGUGGAGCAGCCGCGUCGCAAACGGGAGCCGCCGGCACCGCAUCGAGGCCGGACCAAUGCCAUUAAACAGACAACGCCGACGGUGCCGGGCGUAGUAGGCGGCCAUACAACUAUACAGGCGCCUACGCCCAUGUUCAAGGAUGCAUUUGGCAGCGCCAAAAUUGCGGACUACUUAAGCGUGCCGGCAGUUCAGAGUCUACAGCCGAGAGCGGCAACCACUGGACAUGAUUUUAUGCUGCCUCUACAGCCGAAACUUGUCGCGCCUCUGGAACGCAAAGAACAGCAUCCUUUGCAGCUGACCGCUCACAACUUGGCCUCGGAUACGCAUCAACUGUACGCCGGCCAUGCCCAUGGGCCCAAAGCAGGCACCGUACUAAAUGUGCCGCCCACCAUCAGCAUGACGCACACACAAAUGCCGCCGGGCAUGGCCAGCAUGGGGCAGCGCACACCGAAUCUCAGCUACCGGGCAACACAUACGCACACGCAUGCGCCCAUCCAGCAGCCCAUACCACAACACUAUCAGCACCUGGGCUCAUCAAGGUCAAGCGGUCUGGAGUCGACCAACUGCAAUAUCCAAAUCUCAGUAGCUGGUGCCGCUGGUGCUGCUUGUACAGAGGAACUGAAGGCGCCCAAAGUUACGCUUCUUGAUGAUCUGAGCGAUGAGGUUAACUCCUCAACGGAUGACUGCGCUGAUUGCUGCCUGGUGGAUGACAGUGAUACGUACGAGGCCAGCAAUAACAAUGGCUCCUGUGCGAAUCAGGAAGUCGAGCAGGAAAGCGCCACUGCCGAGGAUAGCGGUGACAGUUUGGGUGGCAUUUACAUUGGUCCCACCCAUUGAUUUUUGGCCAUUAAAUGGGAAUUUCCAUGCUAGGUCUAACUACAAAAUGCUUUUUCUCAGUGUAAUUUAUCAGACUACCACAUGCCUGAUUCUCUGGACCAGUCUGCGCAUUCUCACCACACAAUGCCGUGAGUGCCAAGUCAAAUGAAUUUCAUUGGAGAAUCUGAGCACAGAAAGCUCUGCACUGCUUAUAGAACAUAUAGUGCCGGGCCAGGCGAAGCAUCUGCAGCAUUCGAAUUGGAACCUACAUCAACAGCAAAGCGCUUGAAAUUCAAUUCGAAGGCCUUAAACAAUUUGAAGUUAUUAAAAGCAACGCGAAAAGUUUAAUUGGAACUGUUUGUGGCACUGGGGAGCAUAGAGCCACCAAAUAGAUGUGGCAUAGAGAGUGCCCACUACUUGCUGUUGCUAGCAGAUCCGUAGAUGUUUCACUGCGGACUGGCGCUAAGUGUGCGCAAUUGAAGGCAAUUGAGCAAUUUUGUAUGCUCAGAGCGUCAGAAGACGCAUUUGCAUAAAUACAUUUAUUUAAUAUUUAAAUUAGUUUCGUGGCAUUUCAGCCAUGCACUUAUGUAUACAACACCCCCCCACACUCGCCCCCAUGUGCCUGGUCUGCAGCAAUUCAUCCUGCGCCCGCACAUUUUUACUGAUAAUCCCCAUUGACGCCUAAGUAAUUGUCCUUGACGUGAGGCAAAUGCAGCCAUUCAGACAGAGCCAAGUGAAGUAGUAGCUACCGACUGCCAGUUUGGGUUGGCUUAAAGACAAUGAGGCCGGCAUCUGGAUUGGUCCUAAGUAAACCUAAUAUGAACAUCAAAUGCAAAUUGACAAGUUUGUUGGUUCAUUGUCGCGGCGGCUCCUGGCACAGGCAACGAGGCAUCCAUUUUAUUCGGCGCUCUCCUGGGUUGAAGGAUUCUAGGACUCCAAACGAUUUUAAGGACAUUUACGAAUCUAACGAGUCUAUUCCUUCCAGGAUCGGACGUAUUUUAAGCUAGAUAUAGCCAUUUU
rnacentral:misc_RNA from 1 species